CUCUCCCAUGCAGCAGCACCCUGCACUGAACUGCGCUUGCAACAAGUGCAAGAUAAAGCAGAACUGAAAGGUGUGGGGGAAAAGCUAGAUCAUACUCUGGAUCUCUCACCUUUCAGAACAAAGAAGGCCAGAGUUGGUCAGAGCAGGUCAGAGUGCCAGCUCCCAGAUAAGCAGGUCUCUGCUGCAUUCAUCACCAGGAGGUCUGUCAAACACCACAGUGCAAGAGACCCUCAGACAGGAACAUCUGGCAGAGACCAACAUGAAGGACCAGCUGUUUGCUUCAGGACUGGCUUGGCUGAACAUUGUGCAGCUGAGCACCGGGAGAAGGAGAAGGAGACUGUCGAGGAAGAAAUCCCACAGAAGCAAUAAAUCUGAAGGAACAGGACCGGGCUUUUAGUUCCUUUGAUUCGGACACAGGACAGGAGCAAGGAGCCUGGACAGAGGCAGUAUACCAAAAGAUGAAUGGGGUUUUUGUUUUAGCCUAAUAUAGACACAAACUCUUCUACAAUUAUCCUCCUGCACAAAUGAUCCUGGUUCUGCCCUGAAGGCCUUCUGAAGCCUUGUCUACUUGCUGUGCAUGACCUGAAACCAUUGCUCCCUCGUAUUCAGCAGUAUCACUAUGAUUUUCUGUUUGUGCUCCUCCAUGGAUCCUGCAAUUACUGUCCUAAGUUUCCCCAAAACAGGAAUGUUUUGUGUUGUUGUUUCUAAAAUAAUAGUUUCCAGAGGCCAUUCUCUACCACACAAUAAACAUUUGAAAGCAGCAUUGUGUUUUGAGGCA
rnacentral:lncRNA from 1 species